AGCGAACGCUGGCGGCAGGCCUAACACAUGCAAGUCGAACGGAUCCUUCGGGAUUAGUGGCGGACGGGUGAGUAACACGUGGGAACGUGCCUUUUGGUUCGGAACAACGCAGAGAAAUUUGCGCUAAUACCGAAUGUGCCCUUCGGGGAAAGAUUUAUCGCCAUUAGAGCGGCCCGCGUCUGAUUAGCUAGUUGGUGAGGUAAAGGCUCACCAAGGCUACGAUCAGUAGCUGGUCUGAGAGGAUGAUCAGCCACAUUGGGACUGAGACACGGCCCAAACUCCUACGGGAGGCAGCAGUGGGAAUCUUGCGCAAUGGGCGAAAGCCUGACGCAGCCAUGCCGCGUGAAUGAUGAAGGUCUUAGGAUUGUAAAAUUCUUUCACCGGGGACGAUAAUGACGGUACCCGGAGAAGAAGCCCCGGUAACUUCGUG
rnacentral:rRNA from 1 species